GAAAUGCGAUAAGUAAUGUGAAUUGCAGAAUUCAGUGAAUCAUCGAAUCUUUGAACGCACAUUGCGCCCGCCAGUAUUCUGGCGGGCAUGCCUGUCCGAGCGUCAUUUCAACCAUCAAGCCCCCGGGCUUGUGUUGGGGACCUGCGGCUGCCCGCAGGCCCUGAAAACCAGUGGCGGGCUCACUGUCACACCGAGCGUAGUAGCAAUCACCUCGCUCAGGGCGGGCUGCGGGUUCCGGCCGUUAAACAGCCUUACAAAACCCAAGGUUGACCUCGGAUCAGGUAGGAAGACCCGCUGAACUUAAGC
rnacentral:misc_RNA from 1 species